rnacentral:rRNA from 1 species
AAAGACCCCGUGCACCUUUACUAUUAUUUUAUAUUGAUCAACAUUUUAGAUAUGUAGUAUAAAUGUUAAACCUAUGAUGAGUUGACGCUAGUCAAUAAGGUAUGCUUAGUUAUACAAAAUAUAAUUAAUUGUAGCGUUUAGGAGGUGCAAUUGAAAUAACAUUUAUCUAAAAUAUUUGAACUAACUUUUAAAGUAAAAAAAAGGACAGUGUAAAAAAGAUAGUUUGACUGGGGCGGUUCUCUUCAAAAAAAUAACGAAGAUGCGCAAUGGUAAUUACGGAAUAUUCUAAAAUAUUUAAAAUGUAAUGAUUAAGAUAAUUACUUGACUGUAAGAAUGAAAGACAUAUCAAACAGGGAUGAAAGUCGGCCAUAGUGAUCCAAUAACGCUGGAUGGAUAGGUUAUUGAUUAACGGAUAAAAGGUACGCCGGGGA